rnacentral:rRNA from 1 species
GACGAACGCUGGCGGCGUGCUUAACACAUGCCAGUCGAACGGAAAGGCCCUGCUUUUGUGGGGUGCUCGAGUGGCGAACGGGUGAGUAACACGUGAGUAACCUGCCCUUGACUUUGGGAUAACUUCAGGAAACUGGGGCUAAUACCGGAUAGGAGCUCCUGCUGCACGGUGGGGGUUGGAAAGUUUCGGCGGUUGGGGAUGGACUCGCGGCUUAUCAGCUUGUUGGUGGGGUAGUGGCUUACCAAGGAUUUGACGGGUAGCCGGCCUGAGAGGGUGACCGGCCACAUUGGGACUGAGAUACGGCCCAGACUCCUACGGGAGGCAGCAGUGGGGAAUAUUGCACAAUGGGCGGAAGCCUGAUGCAGCAACGCCGCGUGCGUGAUGACGGCCUUCGGGUUGUAAACCGCUUUCGCCUGUGACGAAGCGUGAGUGACGGUAAUGGGUAAAGAAGCACCGGCUAACUACGUG